rnacentral:rRNA from 1 species
AGUAGCGAACGGGUGAGUAACGCGUGGGUAACCUGCCUUAUAGCGGGGGAUAACUAUUGGAAACGAUAGCUAAUACCGCAUAACAAUAGAGAUUGCAUAAUCUUUAUUUGAAAGUGCCAACUGGUACACUAUGAGAUGGACCCGCGUUGUAUUAGCUAGUUGGUAGUGUAAUGGACUACCAAGGCGAUGAUACAUAGCCGACCUGAGAGGGUGAUCGGCCACAUUGGGACUGAGACACGGCCCAAACUCCUACGGGAGGCAGCAGUAGGGAAUCUUCGGCAAUGGACGAAAGUCUGACCGAGCAACGCCGCGUGAGUGAAGAAGGUUUUCGGAUCGUAAAACUCUGUUGUUAGAGAAGAAUGUUGAUUAGAGUGGAAAAUUAAUCAAGUGACGGUAUCUAACCAGAAAGGGACGGCUAACUACGUGCCAGCAGCCGCGGUAAUACGUAGGUCCCGAGCGUUGUCCGGAUUUAUUGGGCGUAAAGCGAGCGCAGGUGGUUUAAUAAGUCUGAUGUAAAAGGCAGUGGCUCAACCAUUGUGUGCAUUGGAAACUGUUAGACUUGAGUGCAGUAGAGGAGAGUGGAAUUCCAUGUGUAGCGGUGAAAUGCGUAGAUAUAUGGAGGAACACCGGUGGCGAAAGCGGCUCUCUGGACUGUCACUGACACUGAGGCUCGAAAGCGUGGGUAGCAAACAGGAUUAGAUACCCUGGUAGUCCACGCC